UUGAAAUUAGGUGUUCUUGACUUCAGGCUAGUACCACCCAGCUGCCCCCAGGAUGUGAUCUGCCAUGUCUGCAGUUGUGUUCUGAUGGAUUUUGUCAGACAUUUCCCAGUCCCAGUUUCCUCUGGCCCAAGCUGCUCUUGGAGCCCGGCCCGGCCGGACGCCCAGACUGCAGAAUCCAGGAAUCUGGAGUCGGACUCACCACGAGAAUUGGAUCCACUCAGGAUAUGGGGAGGAUUGGCCCCGGGCGGAACAGACUCCCAGGACCAAACAAGGGGCUUCACGGAACACUGUUAAUGAGGUGUUCAUCAGAUGGCUUCCCUUCCAUCCUCCCUACUGUGCGCCAAGCUCUGGAGCUAGGAUUAUAAAAGCAAAGGCAGCCCCUGCCCCCAACAAGGUUGCAGUCUAGUGGGAGAGCCAACCCAGGCCAGGGAGCUCCCGGGAAAACAAGGAGAGAUUGCCAGACCCCUCCCCCUGUAGCUUUGGCAAGGCCCCCGUUUGGAGAGUCGGGGGAGGGAAGCUGGGUGCUGGGGCCCUCUGUGAGUGGCCCAGGUGAGAUGCCAGCCUGGGAGGAAGCUGGGCCUGUGGGAGUGGAGGUUUGGAGAUGAGAAGGUGAAGUCUUCCAGGCCUGGUCUUGGUGGGGCCCAGAAGGCGUUGGGGCUGUGAGACAUGGGAAGGCCGGUGUCUGGGGAGCAGAGGGCUCAGAUCUCCCGUGAACCAGUGGGGAAUCUCCAGGCCCUGGACGUAAAGUGGAGAGAGAAGCCCCUUCCCUCCCUAGGCACCAAGCCUUUCAUUUAGACUUUAAUGAAAUGAAAUAAUGUGGAAAUGGCGGGUUGAGAGUGGCCGCAGGAAGUAGGACGCGGCUGUGGUGUUCGGGCCUCCUGGGAGAGUCCGUCUGGAUGGAGGUCAGUGGAGGGGAAGCUCCUUGCAUGGAGCGGUCAGAGCGCGUGCGGGUCAGCCUGGGGACUCGUCGACGCCAGGGCCGGACUCGUCUCCCCGCAGUGCGGCAGGGACUCGGGGCCUCAUGAGCCCCAGGCGGAGUCCUCACUAAGAGUUGUGUCCCGAGUGGCUGGCGUAGCAUCUCACGCGUGGCCGCCGAUCCCAGCUUCCCGCUGGGGGGCAGGAGGCCGUUCUGCUGCCGGACCGCCCAGUGGCUCUGGAGUUUCCCUGCUGCUUUCCUUUCCAGGGAGAGUGCUGGGGGCUGAGACCCUCCAUAUCCUCUCUCCUAUUUAGUAAGCUUUGCUUUGCAACCGUUUUCUUUCAAAUUCAACAAAAUCCAGUCACCAGCACAGUUCUGUAUCCCUUGUUCCUUCAGAUGCCAAGGCAGCCUGAAUGAAUGAAUGAAUGAAUGAGUGAAUCCACAAGAAUAUAUCUUUUCUCUGAUCUGGAAUCUCUGGGUUUGGGGCACAACUUUGCUUUGCUUUCUGGAGGUCCUGCGGACGGGCCUUGCUCUCAGCAGGAGAGUCACCACGAGGAUGGUCAGGAGUAGAGUCUGGAGUCUAUUCUAGCCCAGUCUUGCUCUUAGUGCAGGAGGCAGAGGAGCCGCCAGGAUGGUCCAAGUAUAAUGUCUCCUUUCCAGACCUCUCAGCCCUUAUGUGCCUAGUACAGUUACCUCACUACAGCGCACUGAGCAAGUGUGAACCAGAGAACCGCCAUCUCCUCAGUUCCCCAGAGUUGGCACCUUGUUUCAGGCAGACUUCUCCAGCGUCCGGCCCUCUGCACACAACGUUCCUAGAAUUUUUGCUUUGGGGGUUUCAUUCAGCCGGUGGCUCCCUGCUCUUUCUCCUUUGCCCUCUGGGUCUAAGAAAUCUGGACAUCUUGAAAUAGGAUGUCCAGGCCCCUAACCCCAUCUUUUUUUUUUUUUUUUUUUUGGUCAUAGCAUUCAGAUAGUCCAGUGAGUCUUUCAUUUUUUUCUCCUUGACCCGUUUUCUGGCUCAGUGUUUUUGCUGUGGGAUUCCUCCUGUUGUCUUGAAUAUUUGUAGUCUCUUAACUUUGUUUUAAUAUUUCUUCCUACAGUAUUUUAAGCACCUACAGUAUACAAGCACUGUGUCUAGUGCUGAGGAUUCAAACAGUGGAACAAUCCCUAUCCACACGAUGCUUAUGUUGUAGUCGGGGAGACAACAAAUCUGGAGAUAAAUAGAGUAAACAUAAGAGAAGAAAUAAAAACGAAUGCAAAGUAGUUAAGUACAAGUUUGGGAAGAGGGGAGGGGUCUGGAAAGGCUGGCAGCUGAUGGUCUGAGCUGCGUCUUUAGUGAAAGGAGGGGAGGGGAGGAGGGAGCGCAGUCGGCGUGGAAGCUGGCCAGGCCACAGGCGGAGAGAUGGGAGGCAGGGGCCGAGCGUAAAGAGCAGAGACUAUGGACAAGUCGUGUCCAUGGAGGCUGGAAAAGGCGCUGGGGGCCAGGCUGUUGGGGCUCUAGAUCGGAUCAGGGAAGACUGGAAUUGUGGAGGGCCAGCUGCCGUGGGGGUGAGGUUGGGGAGAGAAGGCCGGCAGAGCCGUUGGAAGUCACGAUGUCCCCUCGGAGAGAGCAAGAGUAGCAGAGAGAAGGGGGUUGAUUGUGGAGUUGAAAACCCCUGGAUCUGACCAGUGAUUGCAGAUGAGGGGAGCAAGAACCUGCAGCCGGAAACUUGGGGCACAGCAGGGUGAUGAAAUAGGGAGAUUUGGGGGGAAGAGAAUAAGCUCACUUGUGGAAGUUGAGACUUCUUGGGACAUCCUGUCUGAAAGGCCUCAGUGGUGAUUCGGGGCCUCAGGAGAGCACCCCAGGGAGGGGAUGGGACCCUGUCUGUGGAGACUCAGAGGGAGGGGUUAGUCCGGUGAGGACCCAGAGAGGAGGGGCUGGCCUGGAACCUGGGAGAGAGCCAAGUGAGGGACAGGAAGGGAAGUGGGGGAGAAAAGAGUGGAGGGGAUGGUGGCUGAAGGAGCCGGUUUUAGUGUGGCUGGGAGCAGCAGUGGGGAAGCAGUGUGGCCGUGUGGUUGAGGUUGGAGGCCGGGGGUGACUGUUGGGUGUAUGUUGGGUGCCCCGCUGUGUGUCGGAGGAGAGGGAAGCCCCCAGGAGGAAGGUGGGCUGGGGAGGAGCAGAACGCCAGGAGCUGCGUGCCGCCUCUUGAGAGGCCCGGGGUCUGCGCUGGACAGAAGCGGGCUCCUCCCAGGACUCUGCCGAGGGUGCUCGCCUACUCUCAGCCUGCGCGCUUCCUCGGUCCCCGCUCCCUUUUUGAGGGCAAAUGGUCGACAGUCAGGAGCCACAAGGCCUCGUGUCGGUGAGCACGUUGUGAAGGUGAGAACCAUUGCUUUGGGAAAGCCAGCCUGAGCUUGCUUUGGCCUGGGGAGAACGGGGCCAGCCCCACUGCUCGCCCAACCCCUUCCCCCUGCUGCGCCAAUUUAGAAGGGUGGGCAGGGGGCCUCGUGUCGCCCUGAUGGAGCUCAGGCUGACCCGCAACAAUUAGGCUCCCUCUGUGUGCCGGGCACUGUGUGAACGCUGGACAGGGGAGUCGAGGGCCCCCUGCCAGGCCUCUGAUCAGCUCCUCACUGGGCAGCGUUUUAUCAGAAUCAGAAGAGUAGGGCGUCCUUCCCUGACUAUGUGGAACAAAGGGUUUCCUCUGCUCUGCUGAAAACAGCCAAUCGGGCUGAGCUGGGUCGCAGCCAUGCUGUGAUUAAGUUGGGAAAGACAAGCUAUCGCCUGCCCAGCCUCACCCACACUGCGGGGGGCCCCCUCCCUCCGAACUCCCGUCCUUGAUGCCCCUUGGGCGGUCCGGCUCCCUUCUCCCAGACUGCCCCCAGCCAGGUCAAAGGCCCAACGGCUCUACCCGAGCAAACUUUCCCAUUUUGGCUUCGGCCAACCUCGCCCGGCCCCCACGUUCUCCAAGUUGUCCCCACGUGGGCACAGAUUCUCCUUCCGUUCCUUUGGCUUCCUCCCUGCACUUGUGACCGCCUGGUCAGCUCCGGUUCAGAUGGCGUGUCUUGAUCCGUUCUUCUGGUUGCCAGGUAGUAGCCCCCAGCCCGUAUGUCACAGGUUUAUAACCAUGUGGAGGACGUGCUCCCCUGCUGCCAUCCAAAUAAAAGGAGAAAUGAACCGUAAUCUGCUGGGGUGGGGGGAAAGGAGGAUACCCACCAGGUAGGCAAGACCACCCACUUUCCUGGAGUCAGGGCACCUCAUUUUGGUUGUCCUAGCAACAACAGAGGGAGCCAAUCAAGGAAGGAAGUGGGUGAGCUGAAGGAAUGUUACUGGCCACCCGGUGGACAAUUGAGAGCUACAGAGGGCUGGGGGCUGAGACCCUCCAUAUCCUCCCACAGGCCUCUGCAACAUGCUGAUGGCCAGUAGGGGGGUGGGUGCCAGAUUGUAUGCUCUGGGGUCUCCCCCCUCCAGUGGGGCGUCGCUGGAAGAAAAGUGGUCUCAUAAGCACCCCUCUGAGUCUGGUUCUUGUCCGGCCCUUCAGUCAUGUGACCUGUGGACCAGAGCCUGCCAGGACUGCUCACUUUACAGAGGAGGAAGCUGAGGCAAGAGUGAGUGACUUACAGCUGCAGGAAAAAUUGGAAAAUUGGAAGGACGCAAAUCAUGGGGGGAGAAGCUUCGCUCAAGUUUCUCUGAUAAAAUAACCAGCAAGUAUUUAUCAGACAGCUGCUUUGUGCCAGGGGCUAAGAACACCAAAGGAACCCGAGACUACAAAGGCAUGUAUGAUUAUAUACAGCAUAAGUAUAAAGGGAGUAAUGCGGAUUUAUUCAGAGGAAUUAAAUGCGAGGCAUUUGGGGAUGGGGGUGGCGCAGGAAAGGCUUGAUGCAGAAGCUGGUUGAAGAAGUUGAGAAGGAAGGAAGGAGAGAGGGCAUUACAGGCAUGGGGAACAGUGAGGACAAAGGCAUGGAGAGGGGAAAUGGAGAGCCUAGUUGGAUCCCAGAGGGCGGAAGUGGAGGGAAGGCUCAACAAAGUUGGGAAGAUAGGGUGGGGCCAUGGAGGGGCUGGUUGUGGAGUUGGAAAGCCUCGGGGUCAGAGGUCACUUAGGGAAAAUUAGACCUCAGCCUCUAGGAAGGAAUGGGCUAGUGAGAGGCAGAAGGCAGGGAAAGGGAUUAGGAGGCUGUGAGAGAGGUGAAAUCUGCACUGAGGCAGGAGUGCUUCGUGAAGGGAGCGCUGGCCAUUAAAGGAGCCAGCCCAUGAGACUGUUUGGUCAAAGGACAGAAGCAAGCGGUUAGUCAGUCAGCAGUAUUAAGCACCUUGGACAGAAAAGGCCCCUGUAUCCAGAAAAAGAACCAACCAGCACAGGCUCUGUUUGCUUCUUUUUUGCUUUUUUUCUCCCUCUCAUGGGUUUUCCUUUUUGCUCUGAUUUUUCUCUCCCAACAGGAUUCAUGAAGUAGUAGUGUGUGUGUUUUAAAAAGCAAUACAUUUUUUAAAAAGAAAAAAAAAUUAUUAAGCACCUACUGUGUACUAGACACUAUACCAAACCCUGGGGGUGCAAAAAGAGACAAAAGACAUUCCUGCCUUCAAGGUGCUUGCAGUCUAAGGUGGGGGGGGGGGCAGCUUACAAACAGGGCUAUGAGAGCAGCAGCGUUUGGGCUAAACAGGGAGCGAUUAACAGAAGACUCUAGGACUGAGGGGAACUGAGGAAAGCUUCACGCCAAAGAAAGGAUCUUGGCCAGGCCUAAAGGCACUUCUCAGAAAGCCAGGCUAUCCCCAGUGUCCGAAAAAUGGUGCAGGAGGGAUGCUCUGCCGCUCCUUCUAACUGGCACCCAAGUGGUGGGAAAAGCUGACAGUGUUGGGGUGCUGGGAGUGGAUGGGCAGGGUGGGGGGAUGGGCAGGGGGCAGGGGGCUCUGUGGGUUGGAAAAUAAUUUGUGGCACUACCCCCAGAGUGGGCCACAUGCCCUUCACGUAUGUGCCAUGAUUGUACUCAGAGAAACUAAAAGGAGAGGAAAGAGGUCUCUCUCCCUUGGGACUCCUCACUGGUCAGCAGCAGCUCCGGGGUCCAAGCACCCUGGGUCUCGGCGUCCCUCAUCCCUGCAUCAAGCCUUCCAACUUGACCUCCAGGUGUGCUCAACCAGGUACGUGAAGGAUGAUGGCUGGUGGCAGGGGUGAGUUCCCAGCAGCCCCCCAUGGGCUGUGACCUUUGCCCUCAUGGCCCCUAUCUCUGGGGUGGGGAUAAGAUCACCACAGGUUACCUGGGCAAAAAAGACAGGGAGGAGUCCAGGAAACUGGAAGGAAGCUCAGACUCUGGAAUCGAAGGCUAUUGUGGUCUGAGGAGGGAGCAUGUGGACCUCAGUGGAAAGAACUGGCAAGGGGCUGCACCCCGGGUGGCCAAGUCCCAGGACUCCAGGAGCAGGCUGGGGGCCAGCAUGGGGGAGGGGCCUCAUCCAGACACCUCUUUGGGACCCACUUUGGGUCAGCUGCAUGUCCCAGAGGAGAGCACGCUUGUAGCCACAGCCGGGAGGGGGGCAGGGGCUGUGGCAGAUCUGAGGGGCGAGUUCUGGGCGUUCCGGAACCUUGGGGAUGGCUCAAGGAAGAGGAAGGCCCACAAGUUUGUCUUGGAGACUCAGAACCUUUUUAAAGGGAUUUAAAAAUGUUAAAGAGGGAAGGGACCCAUGUUGGCAAAAGCACUUAGAGCAGCUCCCUCUUGUGGGAAGGGAGGGGUGCCCACCGCUGGGGGGUGGCCGUGCCAGUUAGGAGGGCGCAGGUGCAUCAUGGGGGUCAUUUAGAAAGGGGCAGAGGGGCCCGGGGAGCAGGGCAGCCCUGCUAGCUUCCCGCCUACUGACAGCCCAAGUCACGUGGGGGUGCAGUGGUCAGUGACGUUCGUCAGUCAGAGGAAUCAUGGGAGUGCGGCACAGGAGGGGCCGUGUUUUUAUUAAAUGCUUGUUGACUACAAGCAGCUCCUAAAGCCGAUGGCUCUGGGAUCGGAAUCCCCUUCCGGGUUUAGUCAGCUGGGAGACUGAGCGGUUCCUUGUGGGAGACAGAUUAGGAAGCUCUCCGAGAGUGCCCGGGAGCCAGGGGCGCUUCCUACAUGUUCAGACGCCAUAGAACGGGAUUUCAGAGCGUCCAGACCCUCCUCAGCUGGGGCUGUGCAGAACAGGCGGCCGUAGUUUGCUGCCCUCCACCUCAACGGGGCAGCCCUGGAGGCCGCUCCCAGCCGUGGGUCCUCAGGCCAGAGACCUCCCCCCAACUUGCUUUGUUGGGGACUUAGAACUAAGAAGGGAACUCCAAGUUUCCAGAACAUUUUUGGGGGGAAGUCAUCCCCAGAACAAGUUUUUUUUGCUCUAUUCAAGUGACUAUUGAGUAAAAUACCUGCCACCUCCAGAACAGAGAAAGUGAGUCGGUGGUGGUUGUCUAAAGUCCCCAAGAAGCUCGUGUCCCAUCUGUCUUUAUUCUGAACUUGGAACUGUACCUGACCCUUGUCCCUUGUCCCUAACCCGGUGAUCCGGUUGCACAGAUGUUGGUUCUGAAAUGGUUGUUUCCAAUCUUCAAAACCCCAGUCGCUUUCCUCUUGGCGGGGGGAGGAGGGAAGGGGGUUCUUGUUCUUUGCUUAUCUCCGAUGACCCCCCUCUAACUUUCUUCUUCAAAAAAAUAAUCAUAAUCUGUGGGCGCCAGAAUGACCCCUUUCAUUUCUGAGGCCCGAGCAGAUUUGUUUUUUUUCUUUCCAGCUCCCCCCACCCCCUUUCUGUCCUCGAACAUCCGAGUCACCAAGUUCUGGGGGUGGGUCAGUUUGGAGACUUAUCAAGGUCUUUGUACAAGGUCUCUGCGGUCUUUGAGGUCUCAUUUUUUUGUCUCUCCUGGUAUUUAGCGGUGCUUGGCACAGAGUUAACAAGUGCCUACUACGUGCCAAGCGCUAGUGGAUAAAAGGGGAAGAUACCAGGUGGUUCGUCCUUCCCUUUGGCGCUGCUGACUGUUCUAGACACUGACUAUCUAGAACAUUUCCCUCAUUCUGCAGUUGAAGAAGCACAUUUCAAAAACUUUCACAGCAAAGCUUUUUUAGAGCCAGAAACUCCCUCUGUAAUCACUAUUUUCUGGAGAAUGUUUAACAAGCAGCUCCCCAGAAGGAAGAAAAAUGUGCCCAGGAUAAACUUUUAUUUUUUGAUGGUAUUUUCUUUUUCCAAAUAUAUG